GAAAAUUAUUUAUAGUUGCAUUCGCCUUUAUCGUUUGACAUUUGCCAUUAUUGUCAGGAUUUAGGGUUAGUGUUAUUGUUCGGCAUUUAUGGACGAAAAAUCUGACGUUACCUA